GGCUGUGGCUCAAUGGUAGAGCGCUUGCCUCGUAUGAGUGAGGCACUGGGUUCAAUCCUCAGCACCA
rnacentral:tRNA from 1 species